AUUAAAAGUGCUACUCUAGUGAGCACACAAGAGAUAAGGAAGUACAACACCCUUGUUGCUGAUAUGGAGAAAGUUUGAGUGAUCUGAAUAGAAGAUUCAACCAGUCACUACAUUCCCUUAAGCCAAAGACCAAUCCUGAGCAAGGCUCUAGCUCCCUUCAAUUCUGUGAAGGCUGAGAGAAGUGAGGAAGCUGGAGAAGAAAAGUUGGAUGCUAGCAGAGGUUGGUUCCUGACAUUCAGGGAAAGAAGCUCUCUCCAUAACACAAAAGUGCAAGGCGAAGCAGCAAGUUAUCCAGAAGAGCCGCUAAGAUCAUUGAUUAAGAAAUGGGUACAGCUAACCUAAUUCUGAGCAACAACUACCCUGAUCAGUCAAUAGCCAACAACAAUGAGGCAAGACCUUCCACUAGCAAAAAGAUUACAACUUGCGGAAGGCUCAGGUAAUCAUUAGCAUUUUUAAGCAAUAAAGUAUUUUUUAACUAAGGUAAGUACUUUUUUUUUUUAACAUAUAAUGCUAUUGUGCAUUUAAUAGGCUACAGUAUAGUGUCAAUGUAACUUUUAGAUGCCCUAGAAAACCAAAAACAUCGUGUGACUUGCUUUAUUAUGAUACUCACUUUAUUGUGGUGGUCUAGAACUAAACCUACAAUAUCUCAGAGGUAUGCCUGUGACUAGUCUGGGCAUAAGUGCAAAAAUCCAGGCACUCAUUCAUAUACUGCUAGUAGGUACUGCAAUUAGCAUACCUUUCUGAAAAGCAAUUUGGCUGUGCUUAAAAUGUGAAAACUCUUUGAUGCAGUCAUUUCUGGAAAUUUAUUUUAAGAACAGAAACAUGGAUGUAUAAAAAUCCAUCUACAAUGGUAUUUUAAUAGCAAAAAUUGAAAACAAAUUACAUGUUUAAAGUAUAGAACAGUUUAGAUAAUGCAGUUAUGUUAUUAAAGUAUUCUGUAAUAAUUAAAUUAAUAUGGAGAAACAUUUGGAAUUCUCUAUGUACAAAUAUUUGAAAAAAGCAUAUUUCAGAACAUGCAUGGUAUGUUAUAAAUUACUUAGAGUAACAUCUCAUAUCUAAUCUAACCCUAGAUGGCUUAUCUGGGAA
rnacentral:lncRNA from 1 species